UACGUAGGGUGCAAGCGUUAAUCGGAAUACUGGGCGUAAAGCGUGCGCAGGCGGUUUUUGUAAGUCUGUCGUGAAAUCCCCCGGGCUCAACCUGGGAAUUGCGAUGGAGACUGCAAGGCUAGAAUCUGGCAGAGGGGGGGUAGAAUUCCACGUGUAGCAGUGAAAUGCGUAGAGAUGUGGAGGAACACCGAUGGCGAAGGCAGCCCCCCUGGGCCUGCACUGACGCUCAGGCACGAAAGCGUGGGGAGCAAACAGG
rnacentral:rRNA from 1 species